UACGUAGGGGGCAAGCGUUGUCCGGAAUCAUUGGGCGUAAAGAGCGUGUAGGCGGCUUGGCAAGUCUGACGUGAAAGCCCGCGGCUCAACCGCGGAUUGUCGUUGGAAACUGCCUCGCUAGAGUCCGGAAGAGGAGAGCGGAAUUCCUGGUGUAGCGGUGGAAUGCGCAGAUAUCAGGAAGAACACCCGUGGCGAAGGCGGCUCUCUGGGCCGAUACUGACGCUGAAGAGCGAAAGCGUGGGGAGCGAAUGGG
rnacentral:rRNA from 1 species